rnacentral:lncRNA from 1 species
AGUUGUUUAAGAAGCUUCCUAGGAUUGCUUCAUUUUUAAGUAACAUAUAAACUCCUCAAGAAGCUUCUUAAGGUUGCUUCAUUUUCAAGCAACAUGAAAACUUUUCAAGAAGCUUCACAAUACCUUGUAUACAUUAGAGUCCAAGCUAGGAGAUUGUCAAUCUCAAUAACACAUCUUUUAAAGUUCUAGUUCAUCUCUCUUGGUAUUGAUCUUAUAUUCAUUUGAUUUAAACAAGUUCUGGCUAAUUUUCUUAUUGAAACUCUUCUACUCAGCUUCUUGUUUGGUUUCUUGUAUAGUGUAUCCGUGACAUUGCCUCCACACUCAAAAGAGAGUUAAAACCUACAUGCUUGGUUUGCGUCUAUUUUUGUAGAUAUCCAAAAUCCCCACCCCCCUCUCACCU